AGUCAAUGAUGUCAGAAUUUGUCCGUACCAUCUGAGCAUUAAUCUUUGAUGAGACUGUUUACAAAUUUCUGGGGCCA